rnacentral:rRNA from 1 species
AUUGAACGCUGGCGGCAGGCUUAACACAUGCAAGUCGAGCGAGCGGCGGAAGGGUGAGUAAUGUCUGGGAAACUGCCCGAUGGAGGGGGAUAACUACUGGAAAAGGUAGCUAAUACCGCAUACCAUCAGAUGUGCCCAGAUGGGAUUAGGGAGUAGGUGGGGUAAUGGCUCACCUAGGCGACGAUCCCGAGCGGGGCUGAGUGGAUGACCCGCCACACUGGAACUGAGACACGGUCCAGACUCCUACGGUAGGCAGCAGUGGGGAAUAUUGCACAAUGGGGGCAAUCCUGAUGCAGCCAUGCCGCGUGUGUGAAGAAGGCCUUCGGGUUGUAAAGCACUUUCAUCGAGGAGGCGUUACUCGCAGAAGAAGCACCGGCUAACUCCGUGCCAGCAGCCGCGGUAAUAC